rnacentral:misc_RNA from 1 species
UUGAUUCAUUUUUUAUACCACUCAGACAUGCCUUAUAAGUAAAUACAAGAGUUUGUUUUGGUCCCCCGGCGGGCGCCUUGUUCCGGGCAGGCUCUCGCGAACCUGUCCCCGGGGCUGAACCCGCCGAAGCAACGGUAAAGGUAUGCGUUCACAGGGGAUUUGGGAGUUGUAAACUCGAUAAUGAUCCCUCCGCUGGUUCACCAACGGAGA